rnacentral:rRNA from 1 species
UCGAGAAUCUUCGGCAAUGGGCGCAAGCCUGACCGAGCGACGCCGCGUGCGGGAUGAAGGCCUUCGGGUUGUAAACCGCUGUCAGGGGGGAUCAACACAAUGAGUGAUCCCCAGAGGAAGCACGGGCUAAGUUCGUGCCAGCAGCCGCGGUAAGACGAACCGUGCGAACGUUGUUCGGAAUCACUGGGCUUAAAGGGCGCGUAGGCGGCUGUCAGAGUCGGGGGUGAAAUCGUUCGGCUUAACCGGACCAUUGCCUUCGAUACCUGACGGCUCGAGGGAGGUAGGGGCAGAGGGAACUUCCGGUGGAGCGGUGAAAUGUGUUGAUAUCGGAAGGAACGCCGGUGGCGAAAGCGCUCUGCUGGACCUCUUCUGACGCUGAGGCGCGAAAGCCAGGGGAGCAAACGGGAUUAGAUACCCCCGUAGUCC